rnacentral:lncRNA from 1 species
AAUCGAAUAAAGAACCAAGAAUGCAAUAGCGAUGAUUUAAUGAGAAAAAUCCAGUAGAGAUCAGAGGAAAGCCACGAACAAUCGAAGGAGGAAAAACGAAGAAGAUGGGAGGGGAAGAGGAAACGUCAGAGACAGAAAGAAAAUUUUAAAAAAAGAAAAAGAAAAUAAAAAAUAAAAAAAUUAGAUAACACCCAACUCCCCACUAACCACAUAAUCUCAACUUCCUCAGAAUCCCAACACCACCAAAACACUAACUCACCACCGA